rnacentral:rRNA from 1 species
UACGGGGGGGGUAAGCGUUGUUCGGAAUUACUGGGCGUAAAGGGCUCGUAGGCGGCCAACUAAGUCAUACGUGAAAUCCCUCAGCUUAACUGGGGAACUGCGUGUGGUACUGGAUGGCUUGGAUUUGGGAGAGGGAUGCGGAAUUCCAGGUGUAGCGGUGAAAUGCGUAGAUAUCUGGAGGAACACCGGUGGCGAAGGCGGCAUCCUGGACCAAUAUUGACGCUGAGGAGCGAAAGCUAGGGGAGCAAACGGG